GUCCCAGCUGUAAACGAUGAUAACUAGAUGUGGGAGGUAUCGACCCCUUCCGCGUCGUCGCUAACGCAUUAAGUUAUCCGCCUGGGGAGUACGGCCGCAAGGUUAAAACUCAAAGGAAUUGACGGGGGCCCGCACAAGCGGUGGAGCAUGUGGUUUAAUUCGACGCUACGCGAAGAACCUUACCUACCCUUGACAUGUCUGGAAUUUUGCAGAGAUGCGAAAAGUGCUCGAAAAGAGAGCCAGAACACAGGUGCUGCAUGGCCGUCGU
rnacentral:rRNA from 1 species